rnacentral:pre_miRNA from 1 species
GAAAACUUGGAAACUACCGUUGGAUCGAGAAAUGGACGUCCGAGAAUCGUCCACGUCACCAUAAGUUAAAAUUUAACUCGCAGAUUCACUCAUGAGUUAAAAUUUUACUAGGAGUUAAUUUUUAACUCAUGUUGACGUGGACGAAUCUCGGACGUCCAUUUCUCAGAUCCAACGGUAGUUUCUAAGNNNNN